AUUGAACGCUGGCGGCAGGCCUAACACAUGCAAGUCGAGCGGAUGAAGGGAGCUUGCUCCUGGAUUCAGCGGCGGACGGGUGAGUAAUGCCUAGGAAUCUGCCUGGCAGUGGGGGAUAACGUCCGGAAACGGGCGCUAAUACCGCCUACGUCCUGCGGGAGAAAGUGGGGGAUCUUCGGACCUCACGCUCUCAGAUGAGCCUAGGUCGGAUUAGCUAGCUGGUGGGGUAAAGGCCUACCAAGGCGACGAUCCGUAACUGGUCUGAGAGGAUGAUCAGUCACACUGGAACUGAGACACGGUCCAGACUCCUACGGGAGGCAGCAGUGGGGAAUAUGAGACAGUGGGCGAAAGCCUGAUCCAGCCAUGCCGCGUGUGUGAAGGAGGUCUUCGGAUUGUAAAGCCCUUUAAGGUGGGAGGAAGGGCAGUAAGUUAAUACCUUGCUGGUUUGACGUUACCAACAGAAUAAGCACCGGCUAACUUCGUG
rnacentral:rRNA from 1 species